rfam:Picea glauca, whole genome shotgun sequence.
UGUAUUGUGAUUUCUAUAGCAUUAGUGUGCCAGGUCCCAUUAAAAAUAUACAGUUAAGCAUGUUUGGGUUAGAGUAGUACUGGGAUGGGUGAACUCACAGGAAGUCCUAGUGUUUUAUAUGC